CUCUUUCCAGGGAAUCCAAGGACCCCAGGGUCCACCUGGAGAGAUCGGUCAAGAUGGACCCAAGGGGAAGUGUGGUGAUCCAGGAGUUGCCGGCCCCCCUGGUCUUCCAGGACUAAAAGGGUUGGUGGGGGAGCCCGGCUUUGCAGGCCAGCCGGGUGCUAGAGGGCUACCAGGGUUUAAAGGUCAUAAGGGAGAGAGAGGAGAGACUGGCUCUAAAGGAAACCAGGGGGAGCGAGGAGAAGAUGGAGAACCAGGGACUCCUGGCGUGCCUGUGAGUGUCUGUGCCUCCACUAGAAGGCAG